CGAGGAGCGACGCGUCGUGAGGGAGGCUGAGGUGGCGGAAACCGGAGCAAGGAGCGCACCGGGGAGGGUGUUUGUCCCGGGUUUUUCUGCACCGAUAAUGAAACGCCGGUGGUCGUAAAAGAGAGAAUGAAGAGGAGAAGUAGCCCUGCAGAGGUUUGUUUGGACUUCCAGAUUGACGGGUUCCUAAUGUCGAGCCCCUCCCCUGCACUGAAAUCAGAGUCAGAAGCCCCCAGAGAAAUGCCUGCUAGAAUUUAUCAACCCUUCAGCUUCCAGCAACACAGCAAAAAAUACUAAUUAUGAGUGAUCAGACUUAAAGUCUUCCAUAAAACAGCAAUAAAAUGAGAUAUAAUGAUAAUAAAGACUAUUCUAAUCUA